rnacentral:rRNA from 1 species
ACUCAGUGAAAUUGAACUCGCUGUGAAGAUGCAGUGUACCCGCGGCAAGACGGAAAGACCCCGUGAACCUUUACUAUAGCUUGACACUGAACAUUGAGCCUUGAUGUGUAGGAUAGGUGGGAGGCUUUGAAGUGUGGACGCCAGUCUGCAUGGAGCCGGCCUUGAAAUACCACCCUUUAAUGUUUGAUGUUCUAACGUUGACCCGUAAUCCGGGUUGCGGACAGUGUCUGGUGGGUAGUUUGACUGGGGCGGUCUCCUCCUAAAGAGUAACGGAGGAGCACGAAGGUUGGCUAAUCCUGGUCGGACAUCAGGAGGUUAGUGCAAUGGCAUAAGC